rnacentral:lncRNA from 1 species
AUAAAAUUCAUACAUUAAAUACAGCUCAAGAACUUUAAAUAUAUAUAUUCGAACCAUAUGUGCAUAUAUAUAUAUAAUUCAUAAUAUUAAGUUCAACUCAAAGAAUCAAAGAACUUGUAUCAUACAUUCAAACUUUAUAUAUAUAAUUCAUAACUUUAAAUUCAACUCAAGAAAUUAAAUCUUACAUUAGAACUACAUAUCCAUGUACAUUCUACUAUUAGUUUCAUAUCAUUGAACUUAAAGCAUACUUUAGCUAAUAUACAUGUAAUUUAUACCAUUAAUAUCAACCUCCCAAAAUUAAUUUCUAUGUUCGGCUAUCACAUAGAAAAAUCACCAAGUUUUAUUCAAUUUAUAUACUUUUAGUUCCAGCUUACUAAAUGUAUGAUAGAUAUAUUUAUAUAAUUCCAAUUUAAUAACAUUUAAAUUGCUAUUAGACUUACCUUGGAUGUCGUCGACUGUUAAAUCGGCUACUCGACCACUUUUGUAUUUCCCCG